rnacentral:rRNA from 1 species
GACGAACGCUGGCGGCGUGCUUAACACAUGCAAGUCGAACGGAAAGGCCCUGCUUUUGUGGGGUGCUCGAGUGGCGAACGGGUGAGUAACGCGUGAGUAACCUGCCCUUGACUUUGGGAUAACUUCAGGAAACUGGGGCUAAUACCGGAUAGGAGCUCCUGCUGCAUGGUGGGGGUUGGAAAGUUUCGGCGGUUGGGGAUGGACUCGCGGCUUAUCAGCUUGUUGGUGGGGUAGUGGCUUACCAAGGCUUUGACGGGUAGCCGGCCUGAGAGGGUGACCGGCCACAUUGGGACUGAGAUACGGCCCAGACGCCUACGGGAGGCAGCAGUGGGGAAUAUUGCACAAUGGGCGGAAGCCUGAUGCAGCAACGCCGCGUGCGGGAUGACGGCCUUCGGGUUGUAAACCGCUUUCGCCUGUGACGAAGCGUGAGUGACGGUAAUGGGUAAAGAAGCACCGGCUAACUACGUG